UACGAAGGGGGCUAGCGUUGCUCGGAAUCACUGGGCGUAAAGCGCACGUAGGCGGACUCUUAAGUCGGUGGUGAAAUCCUGGAGCUCAACUCCAGAACUGCCUUCGAUACUGAGAGUCUCGAGUCCGAGAGAGGUGAGUGGAACUGCAAGUGUAGAGGUGAAAUUCGUAGAUAUUCGCAAGAACACCAGUGGCGAAGGCGGCUCACUGGCUCGGUACUGACGCUGAGGUGCGAAAGCGUGGGGAGCAAACAGGG
rnacentral:rRNA from 1 species